AUGCACAAUUCAUUGUCUUGCUCUUCCCCUGUAAGAGUUUAGAUAUUUCUUUUGUGCCAGAUGAAUGCUGAAGGUAAAUUAACAGAGUGGCUGUACUGUGCCAACUUUGCCAGUCCCCUUCACACAGUA